rnacentral:rRNA from 1 species
GAUGAACGCUAGCGGCAGGCCUAAUACAUGCAAGUCGAGGGAGAAGUUGUCUUCGGAUAACGGGAACCGGCGAACGGGUGCGUAACACGUAUGCAAUCUGCCCCUGACUGGAGCAUAGCCCGGGGAAACUCGGAUUAAUACUCCAUAACAUUAUGAAAUGGCAUCAUUUUAUAAUCAAAGUUCCGACGGUCAGGGAUGAGCAUGCGGCCCAUUAGCUUGUUGGUGAGGUAAUGGCUCACCAAGGCUACGAUGGGUAGGGGGUCUGAGAGGAUGAUCCCCCACACUGGUACUGAGACACGGACCAGACUCCUACGGGAGGCAGCAGUAGGGAAUAUUGGGCAAUGGACGAAAGUCUGACCCAGCCAUGCCGCGUGCAGGAUGACUGCCCUAUGGGUUGUAAACUGCUUUUCAUGGGAAGAAACACUCAUACGUGUAUGAACUUGACGGUACCAUAGGAAUAAGGAUCGGCUAACUCCGUGCCAGCAGCCG